CCCCUCAGACCCCCGGCAGGCGCGGUUGAGCUAAAGGGGCGGGAGCGUCAGACCCGAGGGAGCUGCGCCUCCGGCGGCCUAAGGAGCGCUGCGGACCCCGGCCGCCCGCCCCUGCCCGGGCGGGAGGGAGGAGCAGACGAUAGCAAAGCUCCUGGGGAGAGGGAGCUGCUUGCACUGUGCGUGGUUCCCGUGCGUGCAGGAGAAAAUGUCCUGGUUUGCAAAAGGCACAGGAUCAGGACAGCUGAGGAAAUGGCAAGAGUCUGCAGCGAUGGGCAAGAGAACAGCCUGUGAAUGACCUGGCAGCCUCAGCACCUGCAAACUUGCUUCUGUCCUAAGCAUUUCUGAUAUGGAAUAGAAUUGGAACAAUCAGCAUUUACACAGCAUAUCCCCCUUCUUUUGGUCUUUUGGACCUUGGUGGCAUCAUGGAGGUCCUAUGUUCAUGGAGAUGAACAGUCUUGAACAGUUUACUCCAGGUGAUAAACACAUGUGGGAAAGUAAUUUGAGAUGGAGAAAUAACGAUGAUGGCAGAAGUAAAUGAAAAGCCAUUUGCCUGCAGAUGUCAGGGCCCACUUCAUUGGUUUUUUGUGAGGAUUAGUUGAGUCAACCUGCAUAAGUUUCUUCAAAUGGUGUCUUGGCACAGAAUGCUGGGGAGGUGAGCAAAUGGAUAAUUUUGUCUUCCUCUGAAAAAUUCCUGAGAGGGCUGUGUAAUGCCUCUGUGGGAGGACAUUGUCACCUGUGUCAACAGCUUUGAGGCUUAGCUAAACUUAUGAGAGGCAGGACUGUGGCCAAUCACGGGCACCCUCAAGGCUGAGUUGCUUCAGGCAGCCCUGCUAUUCCAACAAUGGAGAAUAGUCUGCUUUCUGAACAACCAUACUGAUCCAUGGCUGAGCUUCAGCUCAGCUUUCUCUGAUACUGAACCCAAAUUCACCUUUCUGAGUGGUUUGGGGUUCUUUCUGUACCUGUGUUACCAACCCUCUGGAAAAAUAAAGACAUCCAAAAGGUAAGGAACACCCAAAAGGGAUGCUUUGCGGUUGGUUCCCAUUCUCACAUCUCUAAUUGAGUCUGGUUGGCUUAGAGAGUGAUGGAACCUCACUCUUCUAGAGUAAGGGGUUGGACAGGGCAAAGGCGAGUAGGAUGAAGUUUCCACCUUAGGUUCACAGGCUAACUGGGUGUGGUGGAGAGUUCCAGAAUAAAAACCCCAAACGCGGUGAUUCUGUGCUUCUGGAUUGGCAUAUUUAGAUAUGGGUUCUCUAAAUGAGAACAGUCUCUCCUGACACUUGAUUGUCAGUUUCCAUGUUAGGUGUCACUUGACCAAGCCUUCCUUCUUGGAGAGCAAUAUUGAGGGCUUCUGAGCUCUGUCUCCAGGAUACAGGGUCCUCUGAGGGAGCAGGUGUGACUUCUAGCUUGAUUUUUGGUGGACACAGACUUUUGAUUCUGUGUCCCAGCCUCUCAUUUUUUUCUUUUUGUUCUCCCAUCAAGGCAGAGCCAAGAGGAGAAGGAAAGGUGGGAUACUGAGAGGUAGGGUUAUGCCUAUUUGACCUGAGAGCUCCAAAAGGGAGCCUUCCUGUCCUUCCAUGAGGCCCCAGGUCCAUGACCUCUGAGGAUGUCAUUUGCUAGACACAGUCUUUCUGGGAAACAGAGCUCUCAGAGGAGGGCUCAUGGGAAGGCAGUCAAACCUGAGACUUAUGAGAGGCCCUGCUCUUCCCAUCUGUGGGCAUGAAGCAGUGAUGGACCUGGGAAACGGGUGUCCCCCAAUGGGUGGCCAUGGGAGACAACAAGGAAGGACUACCAGUCAGCUUGGAGUCAGCACUUCUGUCUCCUGACUUUGUAUUGGUACUUUGACUUCUUCAGUGCUAAGAUUCCAGUUGAGGUAACCACUGAUGUCUGUGCUUCAUGUGGUGGUUUUGAGCAGCAUGUGGGAGAAUGUGUGUGAAAGUACUUUAUAAAUGAAAGCAUAUACACUUGUGAACCUUGUUAAUAUUAUUGUUGGCCAUUUGACCUUGUCUGCUGAUCAGAGUUUAAUAUGCCAAGGGUCUCCUAUAAAGGGACUCUUGUAUGAUUCCUGUGCUCCUGCCUUCUUUAUAUAUAUAAUCUACUCUCCUGGUUUCCCAGGUUGGACAAUUUGCCACAGAGAAGCAGAAGUGGGAAAGAAGCUGCUUUCUGCUCUGAUAGGGUGAUGAAUCUUUCCCCUUCUUUCCUGGUACCUUCUGAAAAGCAUGUUCUAUGCAAUUCAGGGAUUCGAUGCACCCUGCCAUAGUCAUGGGAGGGGGUGGCCAUAGGAAUGGGUUUGUGAGUGAAGGCCUUGGGGGAAGGCUAGAGAGUGUAUAGUGAAUUCGUGGGUGGGGGCAAGGUGGAAGUGGGUAGCAGGCUUCAAGUGGCCCCACCCUGGCUAGGCAAGCAGGCACCUCUUUCCUUGUUCUGGUCCUGGCUGCAGCUUUGUACUUCCUGUCUUCUGUAGCCCCCUGGGCCAGCACCAUGACACCAUCUACAUUCGUCAGCCAUCAUGUCCAGACCCUGUCUUUGAGAUGUGUAACAGAAUAACUGCUGAAGACAAGCCACUGCAAUCCCGGGAGUCCCUGGAAGAUGCUGCUCCCUUGGUGUCCCUUUUCAUUUCUACCAUUUCCUUGAGAGAGUCAUUCGCUCUGUCCUCCAUGCUCUCAGCAAGCCCUCCAGAAGAAUUAAUUCCACCACCCCUGCCCGAGCCUUCUCCAUCUCCACCUUCCAUUUUCUUACCUGACCUGAUGAUCCCCUCACCUGAUGUACCUCACCACUGGGUGACUCUCAGCCGGCAGAGCCUGUUCCUCCUUGGGAUUCCAAGUUCCCAGUGAACCCUUCUCCACCCCAACCAUUUUCCUUUUCCCCUCUCCCACCACAUCACACUCAGGGAUCAGACCCUGUUCUCCAACCAGAGGUUGCUUUCUCUCUGAACACCACCAUGGCAUUUGACCCCAGCCUUUACCAAGGCGUCAACCCCUUACCAAAUUUAUACCUCACCAUGGAUCCCACUGAUGUCCAUGCGCAUCAUCAUGCACCGCCAACCCUCUUUGGUACCCCAGAUGGCACUUUAGCUGUGAUUCAAUCUAAAUCUAUUUUCACCUUUUGAAGCUUGUUCUAGAGAUGUUUUCUCCAGGUAGCACUGAUGAAUUGUCCACUUAUGUCCCAACAAUCAGAGACAUUGACCCUCCAAGCCUUGUGGGUUCAUAAUUCUGGCGGCAGCAGCAUCAUGCCCAGGACUUGUUCCCCUCCAACUUGGCACCAUGUGAUUCCAAGCAAGGGCUUCUUACUACUCUUCUGAGGCUUCAUUUUCAGGAGGCCCUGCAUCUGUUUUCCUUUCCCUGCCCAACUAUGAUGUUCUGGCACUCUUGGAGAGACAGGUUAAAAAGGGGAGAUUUCCUGAUUUGGAAGAAAAAGAAAACGACAUUUUUUCCCAAAGCAACUCAGGCCAGACUACCACCUAAAUUCUUCAGGGAGAAUGUUAGUACCGGUUGCCAAUCAGCAUGACUCAGCAGUUUCCCUUCUUUUUUCGGACCAGCAAAGGCAAACCAGAGGAGCAGCAUGUGCAUCAGCGGCCCCUAUAUUCUGAGACCUUUGAGGAUGAUUUGGAGCAAAAAUAUAUCCAGGUCUUCUGGCAUCACCUAUCUCAGUAUGGCGAGUCCCUGCACUCUGUCGUCCUUAUCCCAGGUGUCUGUUCCUCAACAUUUGUGUCCUUCAGUAGAAUCCCAAAUACUUUCAUAGCCGAAGAAUCCCCAGUACUUAACCAUCCCUAACUUCUGUCCUUGCCUCAAACCUUUCCCUAAUCUCAGUCCCUAACCCUCACUCAAGUCCAGUGUCAGGUGCAGUUUCAAUCCCCAGUCCCAAACUUGUCACCUGGUCCUCUAGCCCAGAUUAAGAUCUGUGGAGUAUGUUUACAUAAACCCCAGAAUGGGGCACGGUAUCUUAUGCCAUCUGAAAUUCACCACCUGGAAUGGGAUGUGUUGCAGAAAGAACAGGAAAUGGUGUGGAGUUUAUCCUCAGUGAUCAAGAAAUCUCAGGAAGACUUGUCCUUCAGUUUCCAACCUUAUAUUAGCCAAUCAUCCAAAUUUUAUGUUCCAGUCGCUAUCCUUCCUAGAGAUUUUUUCCUCAGCAGUGAGCUUCACAAGAAAAUAGGGCACAACCUUCAAAGGAGGCUUGUCAAACAGUGAUGAGGCUUGCCAUGCUGCAUCCUUGGGUCUCUGUCUCUGCUAAAUCCUCAGAGAAAAAUUCCUAAGACAUCUGAGUCCAUGUGCCGUCAUACACUCUCAUAGAUUUCUUUGUUUCAAGGUCACAGCAGCAAAGAGCUAGAGAAUUUUGGAUUAAGUCAAUCAAGAAGCUUGGAAAGGAGAUGCAUGGAUUUGCUCCCAGUUAAGGAUGCAAGAAAGAAUCAGGGACUUAGCCUGGAUAAUGGCCUAAAAGAUCAUCUGUUGAGUGACCCAGAAAGAUCCUCCGAUCAGGGUCUGGGGCCUAACUCUGAAAGACCUAGAAAGUUACAUGGUGAGUCUAUUGGGGAAUAAUUCAAGGGCCUCAAGUGUGAGCCUAGGUCAGAAAUAACUGGAACAUGCCCAGACAAUACAACUGAGCAAAAAAUUUGAGAAAAUGAAUGAGCGUAAGAUUUCUAGGACUGUGCGUAAUUCAUGGCAUUCUAUCAAACAGUACCUCUUCCUGAGAAAUCCCACAGGCAAAUAAAACAUGAAAAUGUGUCACAAUUGUCUUGUGACCACUGCUGGAAUACUUCCCAGGAAAUUUUCUUUAUUGGCUCCAGCAAGUAAGAGAUCUUGGAGGCCCAUAAUAACAGUUUUCAUAUGAGCAUGAUGUGGGGAUUUCCCCAAGGUCCAUGAAUCCAUACAAAUCUUUAACUUGAAAGAGAUCUUAUCCAACUUUUGUGUCAUUUCCAAUGCUGCCUUUUCAACCAACCUUAUCUCUAGGGUAGAUUAGAAAGGUAGGAUCUACAAGCCCCUUAGAAGAAGCUUUAAGCUUUUUAUGAACAAAAUGUGGAGAAAACAAUUUCUGAAGUGGGAUCUCCAUGUCCUAAGAAGCAGCUCUUUAGCUUCUCAUGAAGUAAAUGUGGGAACAACUAAUUAUGAAGAUGGGAUUGUCAAGCCUUCUAGGAGGAGCUGUAUAACUUUUCAUGAAGAAAAUGUGGGAAUGACAAAUUCCGAAGGUGAAAUUUCCAAGCCUUCUAGGAGGUGCUAUAUAGCUUUUGGGGAAGAUGUGGGAAAAACAAUUUCCAAAGGUGGGAUCUCCGUGCCUGAAGAAGAAGCUCUGUAGCUUUUCUUGAAGAAAAUCUGGGAACAACAAAUUCCACUGGUGGGGUCUUCAGGCCGACAGAAGAAGCUUCUAUAGCUUUUCAUGAAGUAAAUGUGGGAACAACAAACUCCAAAGAUGGGAUCUCCAAGCCUCCUAGAAGAGGCUCUGAAGUCUAUCAUGAAAGAAAUGUGUGAAAAACAAAUUCCAAAGGGGAGAUCUCCAAGCGUCCUAGAAGAAACCUAUAGAGCUUCAUAAGUUUUCAUGAAGAAAAUGUGGGAACAACAAAUUCUGAAGGUGUGAUUACCAAGCCCCCGUAGAAUAAGUUCUGUAGGUGUUCAUGAAGAAAAUGGAAGAACAAAUUUGAAAGGUGAGAACUCCAAGGCCCCUAAAAGAAGUGCUAAAGCUUUUCAUGAAGAAAAUUUGGGAACAACAAAUUUUGAAGGUGAGCUCUCUAAGCCCCCAGAAGAAACUCUGUGUCUUUUCAUGAAGAAAACGUGGGAGGGAACAACAAAUUCCCAUGUUGGGAUAUCCAAGCACCCUAGGAAAAGCUCUAAAGCUUUUCAUGAAGAAAUCAUGCUAAAAACAAAUCCUGAAGUUUGGAUCACCAAGCCCCUAGAAGAAGGUCUAUUGAUUUUUAUGAAGACAAUUUGCGAACAACAAAUUUUGAACGUACCAUCUCCAAGCCCCAUGUUAGACAAUGUAUAGCUUUUUUUCUGAAGAAAGUAUAACACUAACUUCUGACAGUGGGAUUUUCAAGCCCCCUAAGAAGAAGCUCUAUAGCUUUUCAUGAAGAAAAUGUGCAAACAAAAAAUUCCAGAAGUGGGCUCUCCAAGCUGCCUAGUAGAAUCUCUAACACUUUUCAUGAAGAAAAUAUAGGAACAAUAAAUUCCAAAGGUGUGAUCUUGAAUUAUACUAGAAGAUCUAAAGAUUUUCAUUAAGAAAAUGUACAAACAGCAAAUUCCAAAGGUGGGCUCUCCAUGUUCCCUAAAAUAAUCUCUGUAAGUGUCCAUAAAGAAAGUGUGGGUACAAAAAAUUUCAAAGGUAGCAUUUUCAAGCCCACUAGAAGAAGCUCUGUAGCUAUUCAUGAGGAAAAUGUGGGAAUAAAAAAUUCUGAAGGCGGUAUCUCCAAGCCCCCUAGAAGCAGCUCUAAAGCUUUUCAUGAAGAAAAUGUGGGAGGGAACAACAAAUUAUGAAAAUGGGAUCUCUCAGCCCCGUAGAAGAAGCUCUAAAGCUUUUCAGUAAGAAAAUAUGUGAACAAACACUGCUGAUGUGGGAUCUCCUAGCCUUUUUGAAGAAACUAUAUAGCUUUUCAUGAAGAAAAUGCAGGAAGAACACAUUCUGUUGCUGAGGUGGCCAGGCCUCCUAGAAGACACUAAAGAGCUUUUCUUGAAGAAAAUGUGGGAACAUAAAAUUCCAAAGGUGGGAUCUCCAGGCCCCCUAGAAGAAGUUCUAAAGGUUUUCCUGAAGAAAAUAUUGGAAUAACAAAUUCUGAAGGUGGGAUCUCCAAGCCCACUGGUAGAAGCUUUGUACAUUUUCAUGAAGAAAAUGUGCAAACUGCUAAUUCUGAAGGUGGGACCUCCAAGCCUUCUAGAAGAACCUAUAGCUUUUCAUGAAAAUGUGAGAACAAAAAGUUGUGAAGGUGAGAUCUCCAAGCCCCCUAGAAGAAGAUUUACAUAUUUUCAAGAAGAAAAUGCAAGCAACAAAUUCUGAUAUUGGGAUGUCCUGGCACCCAGUAGAAGCUCUAAAACUUUUUGUGAAGAACAACAAAUUCCCAUGGUAAGAUCUCCAAGCCUCCUAGGAGAAAUCUUAAAGCUUGUCAUGGAGGAAAUGUAUGAAAAGCAAAUUUCAAAUUUGAGACCUCCAAGCCUCUUAGAAGCUGCUCUAUGGUUUUCAUGAAAAAAUCUGGGAAGAACAAAUUCCAAAGGUAGGAUCUCCAAGCUCCAAGAAGCCCUAAACCUUUUCUUUUUUUCUUUUCUUUCUUUUUUUUUUUUUUGAGUCAACGUUAGUGAGAACCUAAACCUUUUCAUGAAGAAAAUGUGGAAACAACAUAUUCCUAUUGUAGGAUUUCUGAGCCCACUAAAAAGUUUUAUAGCUUUUGAUAAAGGUUGAAACAACAAAUUUCAAAAAUGGGGCUUCCAAGCCUCCUAGAAGAAUCUCUAUAGCUUUUUAUCGAGAAAAUAGGGGAAUAACAAAUUCUGAAGGUGCGAUCUCCAAGCCCUGUAAAAAUAGCUCUAUAGCUUUUCGUGAAGAAAAUAUGUAAGUAACAAAAUCCAAAUGUGGGAUCUCCAUGACUUCCAGAAACUGUAUAGCUUUUCAUGAAGAUAAUGUGGGAACAACAAAUUCUGAAGGUGGCCUCUCCAAUCUUCCAGAAGAAGCUGUAAAGCUUUUCAUGAAGAAAAUGUAGGAGCAACAAAUGCCAAAGUUGGGACCUCCAAACCCACCAGAAGAAGAUCUGUUGAUUUCUGUGAAGAGAAAAUGAGUGAACAACAAAUUCCAAAGGUGGUAUCUCCAAGCUCCCCAGAAGAAGAAGCAUUAAAGCUUUUCAUGAAGAAAGUGUGGGAACAACAGAUUCCAAAGGUGGCAUAUCCAAGCCCCCUAGAAGCUUCUCAUAAAAAAAUAAUGCAGGAACAACAAAUUCCAAAAUAGGAUCUCCCAGCCGCCUUGAAGAAGCUCUAUAGCUUUUCAUAAAGAAAAUGCGGGACCAACAAAUUCCAAAGGUGACAUAUCCAAGCCCCCUAGAAGCUUUUCUCUA